AAAAAUCAUAAAUUUUUUUAUUCAUACAUACACACAUAUAGAAAGAGAUGAUCUCUCCCUUUAAGACAGAUUGGAACAAGGGAUUAUCAACUUAAAGCAAUGGUUUUCUUAAACAUCCUACAGAAAUUUCAGCAUCUAUGUAAUUAGUGCAUCUGCUCCAGCAACAAUUUCCAAUAUCUCACCUGUGAUCUUCGCCUGCCUUUCCCGAUUAUAAGCAAUAGAAAGGUUCCUCCUCAACUCAACAGCAUUAUCCGUUGCACUAGUCAUUGCAUUCAUCCUAGCUGCAACCUCACUUGCAAAUGACUCUUGAAGUGCCCUUAAAAUCUGGCUAUUCAAAUAUAAUGGCAUCAAUGCAUCAAGAAUCUGAGCAGGAUCUUGCUCAUACUCUAAAUUACGCAAAAAUUCCCCCUUUUUCACCCUCAAAUCCCUCACCACACUCAGUUUACCUUCCUUACUAGUCAACCUAAAAAACUCAUCUUCAUCAAAAAACUCCUCUCCUCUUAAUGGGAGCAAAGUAUGAAUCACCGGAUCAGAUUUAAUCAACGAAACAAAUUUAGUGUACAAAAGCUCUACUUUAUCAACUUGUUCACUAAUAAACAAAGAAAAAACAUCAUCAGCUAUAACCUGAGCCUCUUUAGCAGUCGGAAAACUCUCAAAUCUAUCAACAACAAAUCUAUCAACAUUCCGAAAAUAAGCAUUACUCUUCUUACCAACACUAAUCAAAGUAUACCCAAUUCCAAGACUCGUCAAUUCCGCCAUCCGGCUCUCUGCUUUCUUAAAAAUCCCAUUGUUAAAACCACCACAAAGACCUCUUUCACCUCCAAUAACAACAAGGCCAACUUUCUUUACCGGUCUUAUUUCUGUCAACGGUAUAUCUACCUCUUCAAACUGAAGCUGUUGGGUGAUGUUGUACAACAUAUCAACAAGGGUUUCAGCAAAGGGUCGAGUACUGAUGACUGCUUCUUGUGCUCGACGAAUCUUAGCGGCUGCGACUAGUUUCAUUGCUUCUGUAACUUUUUGGGUUUUGUUGAUUGUGUCGAUUCUUCCUCGUAGUUCACGAAUACCACACUGAAUUGAACGAAGGGGAAGUUGCAGGGAUCGGAAACUAGGGUUUCUAUUGGUUAGUUUAGGAUCACAAAUGGGAAAGUUGACGACAUGACAAGUGAAAGAGAGUGAAGAAGCCA
rnacentral:misc_RNA from 1 species